GUUUGCAAUAUUUUAGGGCUCCCUGGGUACUUAAGAUUAAUGUCUGAAUCAGUAGUGUUAUUGUUUCAAGAUCUUGGUGUGAUGGGAGCCAUUUGAGGCAGGAAUUUUUAUCCCUUAUCAGAACGUAAAAUAUCUCACAGUCUGCAAGAACACCAGUAACUAUGGCUUAUAGCUACUCUCAAAAUAGGCUCAACAUCACGUUUAUUAGCUUUUUUCCUUGGCAGCUAGAAUGCAUAAAUCAGUAUGGAGCUACUUUUUAUCAUCCAGGUAAUACGAUUAAAAUGGGAAUUAGACAUGUCUGAUCAUCCAGAGAUGAGAAACUAAAAUCAUCAACUGCAACCAGGCAAAUGAUGAUAGAGAAUCUACUACGUAAAUGGUGCACUGUUCAGUUGGGGCUGCUGAAAAGGGAUUUUCUGUGUAGCUCAGAGAAGAUCCCCAGAACCCUGAACACUUGUCAUCCUUUCCCUCCCAGAUUACUUAUUGGGAAUGGCAAUGGAGUUUUGAGAAAGUCAGGUCGGCCCUUGGUUUAUGCCUGACCAAAAUUAAUUUAGUGAAUGAACAGUUUCCAAAAAUCACAUUCUGGAAGCAAUGAGAAGACUCAAUAAUGAUGAUGGCACUACUUUCUCAAGUCCUUGUAUCUGCAAAAACUGGCAGUGGAGAUGAGGCAAAUUCCCAUAUGCUCUCCUCCAAGAAAAUGGUAAAAAUGAGUAAUGCCUGUUAAUAAACCAUUUUGAAAGCCAAACCAUCCAGUUAUUAGGAUCAAUGCCUUGACUCCUCCUCCCCAGAAACCUCACCAAUUCGGUAUUACCAUCUCAAUGGAGGUAAGGUGAGGACUGUACAUGAUAAAAAUGGUUGUUUCAUUGACUCCAAAUGGUCAAACAGAACAUUAGAAAUACCAUGGAAACAAGGAGUCACUAUGAGGCUAAUGGUGAGGUUGAGCCACUAUAGACUGACAUGAUAUUUUAGCAGAAGCACACAAGUAUCUGAAUCCUGCUUUUAUCCAUGAUGGCAUUUUCCUAGGAAAUCCCUGAGAACAAAGAAAAUAAUAUAUGUUAGUUGAAUUGUUAAC
rnacentral:lncRNA from 1 species